UACGGAGGGUGCAAGCGUUGUCCGGAUUUAUUGGGUUUAAAGGGUGCGUAGGCGGCCCGUUAAGUCAGUGGUGAAAGCCUCCAGCUCAACCGGAGAACUGCCAUUGAUACUGACGGGCUUGAGUACAGACGAGGUUGGCGGAAUUGAUUGUGUAGCGGUGAAAUGCAUAGAUACAAUCAAGAACUCCGAUUGCGUAGGCAGCUAACUAGGCUGUAACUGACGCUGAGGCACGAAAGCGUGGGGAGCGAACAGG
rnacentral:rRNA from 1 species